AUACGUAGGUGGCGAGCGUUGUCCGGAAUUACUGGGUGUAAAGGGCGUGUAGGCGGGUAUGCAAGUCAGAUGUGAAAUACCGCAGCUCAACUGAGGUGUUGCAUCUGAAACUGCAUAUCUUGAGUACUGGAGAGGGAAGCGGAAUUCCUAGUGUAGCGGUGAAAUGCGUAGAGAUUAGGAGGAACACCAGUGGCGAAGGCGGCUUCCUGGCCAGAGACUGACGCUGAGGCGCGAAAGCGUGGGGAGCAAACAGGAUUAGAUACCCUGGUAGUCCACGCUGUAAACGAUGGAUACUAGGUGUAGAUGGUAAGAAACUAUCUGUGCCGGAGUUAACACAAUAAGUAUCCCACCUGGGGAGUACGGCCGCAAGGUUGAA
rnacentral:rRNA from 1 species